rnacentral:lncRNA from 1 species
AGCUUUGCUUGGUUUUGGGUUUUGAGCCAUUUCAAUGAACAAGAUGCAGAUUUUCUUUGUCUCUUAACUCACUCUUGGUUAUCUUAGCUCAUUCUUGGUGACAAACCAUUCAUUUCUACUUCCACUUGCUUGUUCUUGAUGUUUGAAACUUGAGCUUUGGAGCUCGUCUUUACAUUUCCAUGGUGAUUGUUGGGUUUGAGUAACUUUAUAUUUUCGUUUUCCCCUUUCAUUGUUGCAGUAUCUCACGCUUUUACUUGCAUUUUGUUGGGUUGGAUGAUAAAAAUGGAGUUCUAUGUUAGUUUUGGGUUGAAAAGAGCUUAAGUUGAUGUGUGGGUGUUGUGGUUUGGACUCUUUCUUCUUGCAUUUCGUUUUUGAUGUUUGAAACAAGGAAUGGACCAGAUUUUUGUGUUGUUAUGAUGGCUGGACAGAGCUGGAGUUGAUGGCUUAAGUUUUAUUUUCGUUUUUGCAAAGAAAGUUGAAGAAAAGUGAGUGAUGGAAGUGGAUUGAUGAGUAGAAGUUUGGGUUUCUUGUUCUAGUGUUGAUUUGCACUUUGAACUUUGGUUCCUUGGUGUAUUCUCGGUGGAGAAGAGUUGGAGAAAGCUUUGGAUGGUGGUUGAGAAGAAAGAAAACCGAAAUUGAGGUUGGAAGUGAGAGAAAAGGGUGCAUUUAAUUUUUUUUCCUCA